AGAGACUGCCUGAUGCCUGGUGACAGAAGGAGUGACUCACAGGUGACUCACAGAAAUAAACAGAAAUGGCAUCUCAUCUGGGAGGCGCUAAGACUGGCUGAACUACAACUACUUGGAUUUGCUUAAGUGUCUUUAAGCUUCUGCUGAGAACUGAAUAACAGAGAUGGACACUGAAGAACACAUCUACCUUGUCUUCUACUGGUUACCCACUAAGGCACAAAGGCUGGACUCAGCACAACACAAUCAAAUAAGUUGAGAACUUUGCAUCUUAUUUAAUUUGCUCCUUAAUCAACCAAAUGUUAGUAGAAACAUUUGUUUCUGAAGAAGUUGAGAAGUGAAAAACCUUACCUGCAAGAUGGUUCCUGCAUAUUGAUAGAAUGUUCGCACUUCCCAUGCAUGCAGAAGCCAUUGUAGUGCUCUGGACAAGGCAGAGAGAAAGAGAUCUCCUGUUCACUGGUUCAUACCCAAAAUGCCUGCAACAGCUGAAGAUAGGAGCCAGAAAUUCAAUCUUGGUCUCCCAGAUUUCUGCCCAAAUACAUGAGAAAUAGAAGUUUCUUGAACUCAACCUAAAGACACUAUUCAGUUCUACGGCAAAUGGUCAGCAGUAAUGGAAGAUUCUUUGAUGGUUACUGAUCCUUCAUUUGCUUUGUAUUUCUACAUUGAUAAGGACCAAUAAAUUGAACAAACUGCUUCCGUGGAGAAGACAAGGAA